rnacentral:rRNA from 1 species
AGUUUCCGUAGGUGAACCUGCGGAAGGAUCAUUACCACACCAAAAAACUUUCCACGUGAACCGUUGUAAUUUUGUUUUGUGCCUUCUUUCGGGAGGGCUAAACGAAGGUUGUCCGCAAGUGUAGUUAAUUCUGUACGCGUGGUCUUCCGAUGUCUUUUUAAACCCAUUACUUAAUACUGAUCUAUACUCCGAGAACGAAAGUUUUUGGUUUUAAUCCAUAACAACUUUCAGCAGUGGAUGUCUAGGCUCGCACAUCGAUGAAGAACGCUGCGAACUGCGAUACGUAAUGCGAAUUGCAGAAUUCAGUGAGUCAUCGAAAUUUUGAACGCACAUUGCACUUUCGGGAUAUUCCUGGAAGUAUGCUUGUAUCAGUGUCCGUACAUCAAACUUGCCUUUCUUUUUUUGUGUAGUCAAGGAGAGAGAUGGCAGAUGUGAGGUGUCUCGCUGACUCCCUCUUCGGAGGAGAAGACGCGAGUCCCUUUAAAUGUACGUUCGCUCUUUCUUGUGUCUGAGAGAAGUGUGACCUUCGAAUGCGGUGAUCUGUUUGGAUCGCUUUGCGCGAGUGGGCGACUUCGGUUAGGACGUUAAAGGAAGCAACCAUUUUUGGCGGUAUGUUAGGCUUCGGCCCGACGUUGCAGCUGAGAGUGUGUGGUUUUCUGUUCUUUCCUUGAGGUGUACCUGUUUGUGUGAGGCAAUGGUCUGAGCAAAUGGUUAUUGUGUGAGAGUGGUUAUUGCUCUUGGACGCUCUAUUCGUAGAGUAAAGAAGGCAACACCAAUUUGGGACUAGUCUGUGGAAUGAAUGAAUUUUUAUUUCGCGGGCGCUUUUCAAUUUGGACCUGAUAUCAAGUAAGACUACCCGCUGAACUUAA